GAAAAAUUAGUUAAAACAUAACAUUAGUUUGUCAUUCUAAAAUUAUUUUUAAAAAAUAUUUUUCU
rnacentral:tRNA from 1 species